rnacentral:rRNA from 1 species
UACGGAGGGUGCAAACGUUGCUCGGAAUCAUUGGGCGUAAAGCGCACGUAGGCGGCCUGUUAAGUCGGGUGUGAAAGCCCUGGGCUCAACCCAGGAAGUGCACUCGAAACUGGCGGGCUUGAAUAUGGAAGAGGGUCGCGGAAUUCCCGGUGUAGAGGUGAAAUUCGUAGAUAUCGGGAGGAACACCGGUGGCGAAGGCGGCGACCUGGGUCGAUACUGACGCUGAGGUGCGAAAGCGUGGGGAGCAAACAGG